ACGAAGUGUGGACGCCAGUCUGCACGGAGCCAUCCUUGAAAUACCACCCUUUAACGUUUGAUGUUCUAACCCAGACCCGUAAUCCGGGUCGGGGACCGUGUCUGGUGGGUAGUUUGACUGGGGCGGUCUCCUCCCAAAGAGUAACGGAGGAGCACGAAGGUUGGCUAAGCAUGGUCGGACAUCAUGCGGUUAGUGCAAAGGCAUAAGCCAGCUUGACUGCGAGAGUGACGGCUCGAGCAGGUACGAAAGUAGGUC
rnacentral:rRNA from 1 species